AGCUGCUGCAGCUCAUAAUAACUCAACAGUGCAGCUAUGACAGCUCUGCUCAUGUCAGUGCUGCUGACUGCCAUGUGCUUUGAGUGCAGGGCACAAAAAGACAAUGUGCUGCAACCAAAAGCAGAUGUGACUGCUACUGAAGGAGAGGCAGUGACUCUUGGCUGUGAAUAUAACACCAGUUCAGCAACUCCAUAUCUGUACUGGUACAAACAGGACGUCAACGACAGGCCCAGAUUCAUCCUGAGUCGCUCCAAGUUUUCCUUGGAGAAAACAGAGGAUGGUGUGAAGAACAGAUUUAAAUCCAGGCUGAAUUCCACCUUAAGAUCAGUUCCUCUGACCAUCGUGGAGCUGCAGCCGUCUGACUCUGCUGUGUACUACUGUGCUCUGCAGCCCACAGUGACAGGAAACACCAAAACUCAGGGCAAAAACCUUCACUGUGCAUACUCCACAACAGCCACUAGAGGGAGCCAAAUACACUUGUCAUUUGUUGGAGUGAAGUAA